UGAACGCUGGCUGCAUGCUUAACACAUGCAAGUCGAACGGUAACAGCAGAGCUUGCUCUGGCUGACGAGUGGCGGACGGGUGAGUAAUGCAUAGGAAUCUGCCUAGUAGUGGGGGACAACCUGGUGAAAACCAGGCUAAUACCGCAUACGACCUACGGGUGAAAGCAGGGGACCUUCGGGCCUUGCGCUAUUAGAUGAGCCUAUGUCUGAUUAGCUAGUUGGUAAGGUAAUGGCUUACCAAGGCUACGAUCAGUAGCUGGUCUGAGAGGAUGAUCAGCCACACUUGGACUGAGACACGGCCCAGACUCCUACGGGAGGCAGCAGUGGGGAAUAUUGGACAAUGGGCGAAAGCCUGAUCCAGCAAUGCAGCGUGUGUGAAGAAGGCCUGCGGGUUGUAAAGCACUUUCAAUUGGGAGGAAAAGCUAAAGCUUAAUACGCUUUAGUCUUGACGUUACCAUUAGAAGAAGCACCGGCUAACUCC
rnacentral:rRNA from 1 species